GACGAACGCUGGCGGCGUGCUUAACACAUGCAAGUCGAACGAUGAAGCCUUCGGGUGGAUUAGUGGCGAACGGGUGAGUAACACGUGGGCAAUCUGCCCUGUACUUUGGGAUAAGCCUUGGAAACGGGGUCUAAUACCGGAUAUCACUUCUGACCGCAUGGUUGGUUGUUGAAAGUUCUGGCGGUACAGGAUGAGCCCGCGGCCUAUCAGCUUGUUGGUGGGGUAAUGGCCUACCAAGGCGACGACGGGUAGCCGGCCUGAGAGGGUGACCGGCCACACUGGGACUGAGACACGGCCCAGACUCCUACGGGAGGCAGCAGUGGGGAAUAUUGCACAAUGGGCGAAAGCCUGAUGCAGCGACGCCGCGUGAGGGAUGACGGCC
rnacentral:rRNA from 1 species